rnacentral:rRNA from 1 species
UGAGUACCGUGAGAUUGCUUAGAGGGAUACAUGAACGAAUGCUAAUCCCAUAUGCUUCGAGUGAAAUGAUUUAUAUUUAUCCGCCUAGAGAGAAGCUCGCGGCUGAUUAGCUUGUUGGUAAGGUAAGAGCUUACCAAGGCGACGAUCAGUAUCUGGUUUGAGAGGACGAUCAGACACACUGGAACUGAGACACGGUCCAGACUCCUACGGGAGGCAGCAGUGGGGAAUUUUCCGCAAUGGGCGAAAGCCUGACGGAGCAAUACCGCGUGAGGGAAGACUGCCUAUGGGUUGUAAACCUCUUUUUUCAGGGGGGAAUCAAUGACGUGUACCUGAAGAAUAAGC